CGGACGGGUGAGUAACGCGUGGAUAAUCUGCCCUACACAGGGGGAUAACAGCCGGAAACGGCUGCUAAUACCGCAUAGACUGAGCUUUCGCAUGAGAGAACAGGGAAAGAUUUAUCGGUGUAGGAUGAAUCCGCGUCCGAUUAGCUAGUUGGAGGGGUAACGGCCCACCAAGGCGACGAUCGGUAGCCGGCCUGAGAGGGCGACCGGCCACAUUGGGACUGAGACACGGCCCAGACUCCUACGGAAGGCAGCAG
rnacentral:rRNA from 1 species